GGAUUAGAAACCCCGGUAGUCCACACCGUAAACGUUGGGCGCUAGGUGUGGGGCCCAUUCCACGGGUUCCGUGCCGCAGCUAACGCAUUAAGCGCCCCGCCUGGGGAGUACGGCCGCAAGGCUAAAACUCAAAGGAAUUGACGGGGGGCCCGCACAAGCGGCGGAGCAUGCGGAUUAAUUCGAUGCAACGCGAAGAACCUUACCUGGGUUUGACAUAUAGAGAAAUCCAUCAGAGAUGGUGGGUCCGUAAGGGUUCUAUACAGGUGGUGCAUGGCUGUCGUCAGCUCGUGUCGUG
rnacentral:rRNA from 1 species